CUGGCGGCGUGCCUAACACAUGCAAGUCGAACGGGAAUCUUCGGAUUCUAGUGGCGGACGGGUGAGUAACGCGUAAGAAUCUAACUUCAGGACGGGGACAACAGUUGGAAACGACUGCUAAUACCCGAUGUGCCGCAAGGUGAAACCUAAUUGGCCUGAAGAAGAGCUUGCGUCUGAUUAGCUAGUUGGUGGGGUAAGAGCCUACCAAGGCGACGAUCAGUAGCUGGUCUGAGAGGAUGAGCAGCCACACUGGGACUGAGACACGGCCCAGACUCCUACGGGAGGCAGCAGUGGGGAAUUUUCCGCAAUGGGCGAAAGCCUGACGGAGCAACGCCGCGUGAGGGAGGAAGGUCUUUGGAUUGUAAACCUCUUUUCUCAAGGAAGAAGUUCUGACGGUACUUGAGGAAUCAGCCUCGGCUAACUCCGUGCCAGCAGCCGCGGUAAUACGGGGGAGGCAAGCGUUAUCCGGAAUUAUUGGGCGUAAAGCGUCCGCAGGUGGUCAGCCAAGUCUGCCGUCAAAUCAGGUUGCUUAACGACCUAAAGGCGGUGGAAACUGGCAGACUAGAGAGCAGUAGGGGUAGCAGGAAUUCCCAGUGUAGCGGUGAAAUGCGUAGAGAUUGGGAAGAACAUCGGUGGCGAAAGCGUGCUACUGGGCUGUAUCUGACACUCAGGGACGAAAGCUAGGGGAGCGAAAGGGAUUAGAUACCCCUGUAGUCCUAGCCGUAAACGAUGGAUACUAGGCGUGGCUUGUAUCGACCCGAGCCGUGCCGAAGCUAACGCGUUAAGUAUC
rnacentral:rRNA from 1 species